GGAACUACGAAUAUAUCUUAGUAGCUGUGGACUACGUGUCCAAAUGGGUAGAAGCCUUACCUUGUCGAUCAGCUGAUUCAAAACAUGCCAAGAGAAUGUUCCAUGAAGUAAUCUUUCCUCGCUUUGGUAUACCCCGGAUAGUUAUAAGCGAUGGAGGUUCCCACUUCAUCGAUAAAAUCUUCUGGAAGUACCUAGCCGAUCAUGGAGUUCGACACAACGUCGCAACACCAUACCAUCCUCAGACUAGCGGUCAAGCCGAAACAUCUAACAAACAAAUCAAAAAUAUUUUACAAAAGACCGUAGAUGAGAUGGGUAAGGGGUGGAAGGACAAACUUCCCGAUGCACUUUGGCAUAUAGAACUGCAUUGAAAACACCCAUAGGCAUGUCACCUUAUCAACUUGUAUAUGGAAAAACUUGUCAUUUGCCUGUGGAAGUAGAGUUUAAAGCUUAUUGGGCACUCAAGAAAUGGAACAUGGAUCUCCACCUCGCUAGCGAGAAUCGUCUGAUGCAACUAUCUGAGCUAGAAGAAUGGAGAGAAAGCCUACCACAAUUCAAGGAUCUAUAAAGAGAGAACAAAACGAUGGCAUGAUAAGAGAAUCAAGCACAAGGAGUUUAAGCCUGGAGAUAAGGUUCUACUAUUCAAUUCAAGAGUUAAGCUCUUUGGACAUGGUAAGCUACGAAGUAAGUGGGAUGGACCAUACAAGGUUAUUGACACUUCAACACAUGGAGCCAUUACCAUCCAAGACAACAUAGGUAACACUUUUAAGGUAAAUGGUCAACGCUUGAAAAUCUAUCUUGAGCCACAAAACAACCUGGUAGAGGAACUUGAUGUGAUUGAGUUCAUAGAAUUCUCACAUUAAAUAUUCAUAAGCUCUAGACAAUUACCUAACCCUUAACAUGCUCCACGAGUUUUGUUGUCUAUUUGGGUUAUGCAGGGUUUUUGAGGCUUAAGAAGAGUGAGACCGAACAUGCUGGCCACAAGAGUGAACGACUAUGUCAACAUCCAGCUUGGGGGAGGCACCCCCACGUGUAUCUUGAUAAGUAUUACUUUUCUUUCUUGGUCUUAUUUACUAGUAUUCAGAAAUAAAUAAAUAAAUAAAUAAAUGCAUAACCAUGAAACCAAAUAAAGUUUUCCUUUUGAGUAAUAUACAAUAGUUUUGUGUAAUCCUAAGUUUUAAAUAAAAUAAAAAGAAAGUUUGAUCCAAGUCUAGGUAUUUGACAAACAUGAUAUGAGAAGGUCUGAGCUACUAUUUAACUUGUUCCAAGUUUUGCUAGAAUUCUGGAGAUUUUAUCUUUUGAAAAUCUAAAAAUUCAUAAAAAAAAUGAGAUCAUAAUACCUAGAGUCUUAAUAGAUAUAAAUAUUAAAACUGUGGGCACUUGCUUUGUUCAAGCCCUUGUUAAUUCUUGUAGUUUUGGCUGAGAGAAUUAUCAUGCUCCAAAGAUCAAGAUCUUUUAGUUUUAAAAAUAUAAAAGAUUCACUCUUCUGAAGUAUUAUUGCGUUAGAGGCAUGGGACUAUACAAAAAUUUGAUUCGGAAAAAAAAGAAGUGAGACGAGAGGUAAAAAUGGACAAGUGUCCGAAGUAGAAUUAGGGGUACAAAGAUACCCACCUGAGUGAAAAAAAUGGACACGUGUCCGAUAGUAGAAUUAGGGGUACUUGGUGCCCACUUGAAAAAAAAAGAAUAAAAAAAAGAGAGAUACUAAAAAAAAGAAAAAAAAAGAUAGCCCAUGGUUCCUCUAAUAAGCAAUAAGCCAGUAAGAGAUGACAAACUUUUCAAAAAGGUCAAAGGUUUUGAUCUAGGAGUAUGACAUUCCUCUCCCUUGCUCCGAGCAUUGACAUAGCAAAAUGCAAAGUAAGUAUGCUAAAACUUUUAAAGCUCUACUUAUAUAUCUUUCUAGAAAAAGGCAAAUGCCUCUGUUUUAUUUUGUAGACUUACAGAAAACUCUAGAACAAAGGUAAGACAGAAGAACUUGAGACAUAGUGCUUGACUUGAUCGUUCGGUUUUUCAAUCACUUAAGACCUUAGUGAUAAAUUAAAAACCCUGUAGUAAGAGGCAUAAAAGUAACCCCUGUUUUCUUGCUGAUUUUAGCUUUGCUCAGGGACGAGCAAAGGUUAAACUUUGGGGAGCUUGUUGACGGUCCUUAAUGCUCACAUUUAACCGUCAACUAAUCAUGGAAAAUGACUUAUAUGCAACCAAUACCUAGACUUAGUGUUUUAUCUAACAGAAUUCCACGAGUUUUGGUGUUUGUCUAUUUCUGCAGGGGGUUAUCACGAAAUACGGAGGAAAGGCCCACACGUCGAGAUUACAUAGAGAUAUUAACGUGCCGCGCAAUUUUCUACCAUCUAGAAGACUCCAGAAGCCACGGGAACGAACGGGAAGGCAAUCGGGCUCGGAGGCAGGGCGCCCACCCUACUCUCCUAGGCGCCCGCCCUGCUACAGUGCCCAAUUAGAGUCCUUUUCGCGGAUCGUGCUCCACCGACCUAGGGGAUCAAGGAAAACCGUGCGAUUAAUGUCGGUUUGAUCCGACAGCCCAGAUUCAUCUGAAAAGACUAUAUAAGCAAGGCCCCCUGGCCCCUGGAGAUCAUACCUCUUCUACAGAAUCAAAGCUAGGGUUUCAAUUCUUCAUCCAAGUAGAGAGGAUCCCUCUAGUUCUUCUAGUUCUACCUCUAGUUCAUCUAGAUCUAGUUUUAGUUCAUCUAGUUCUAGUUCUAGUUCCUCUAGUUCUAGUUCUAGUUAGUUCUAGUUGUAAUCUGGAAAAUAGGGAGAGAGAAGUGGAGAGCGGAGGAGGAAGAGCCGGAUCUGUCGGAUCUUCUUCAACAUUGUACUUUUGCAGCAACUAGUUCGUCCUUCAUCGUUCUCCAGGUUCUUCAAUUCAUAAUCCUGAGUUCUUUAAUUACUUUUAUUUACAUUCAAGUUAUUUAUUGGAUUCCCGCUUGCAUCAAGUGCUCUAAUCUUUGCAACAUUAGAGUAGUAAUUAAUAGAUUAGACGUGGUGUUUAGUCUUGCAAUUACCUAGAAUUGCACCCAAUCCUACGGAUUGUUGUGGUAGCCCUAGGGUAGUGACAGCCCUAACGGUCGACGUAUUCCACCUCAUUCGGAUCGGUGUUUGUAGGACCGUAGUCAGAGCUUCCUAGCCCCCUUCUCAUCUCUUUCCGUGGUUAGUGAGCUGAUGUCCCAAAAUAAAUAAUCUUUGAAGUAAUUCUUGAUUCUUAGAUCAACUAGAGAACUCUCAGGAAACUUCCUCUCUUCCCACCAAAAACAAUUAUAUAGUUAUCCUUAGGUGAUUUUGAUUCUUAAUUAGUACACUCACGUUCCCUGUGGAAAAUCGAUACUCUCAAAUACUCCCGGGUGAAGGCUACAUUGGUAUCCAUGCGCUUGCGGAUUUUUCUGUUUGCGUUUAAAAUACCCAACACACACUUAGGGUUUUAUCUGACAGAAUUCCACGAGUUUUGGUGUUUGUCUAUUUCUGCAGGGGGUUAUCAGGAAAUACGGAAGAAAGGCCCACACGUCAGGAUUACAUAGAAAUAUCAACGUGCCGCGCAAUUAUCUUACAUCUAGAAGACUCCAGAAGCCACGGGACGGAAGCGGAGGCCGAACGGGGCCAGGCACUGGGCGCCCGCCCAGUUGACUGCGCGCCUGCCCCCUCACAGAGUUGGAUCAGGACUCUCUUUCGGGAUCAAUCUCCACCGACCUAAAGGAUCAAGGAUAACCGUUCAAUCAAUGUCGGUUUGAUCCAACGGCCCAUAUUCACUUGAAGGGACUAUAAAACCAGACCCCCUGGCCCCUGGAGGAGAGAGCCUCUCAACCCUAAUUCAUUAUUCCUCAAGGGAGAAGAAGCCUCUGAUCAAGAUUAGAGCCACCACAUCGAUUAGAUAUGUAGAUUAGCAUAGCUACAUAGGAUUAGAACUAGAAGGAGUCAAUCUUCGAUUGGUUUCCGGAUCUGUCAAGAGGAUUCUUGGUAAUUCUCUAAUUGUUCUUCUAAUUGUUCUUCUAAUCAUCUUGUUCUUCAAUAUUAUGAAUAUGACUUUGUUCUACUUCAAUAUAUUGCUUAUGACUUUGUUCUACUUGCUUAUAUUCAAGAUUAUAUUGUUCUUAGUUUAUCAUAUUUAUAUACUUGGCUUAGUUAGAUUGGAUCUAUAUACAUGUUUAGGAUCGUAUAGCGUUUAUCCAUCGGAUCCAUGGGUAAAUGAUAGAUAUUGUGUAGGCGUGGUGCUUAUACCGUAUUUAUCUGCGAUUGUACCCAAUAUGCCAGAUCGUGGGGUAGUUCGUGAUAGUGACAGCUUCAUUGAUUCUUAUAUAUGUAACAUAACCGUCCAAUUUAUAAGAAUUCAAGUGAAUUAGCGACCACGGAGGCAGUCAAGCCAAUGGAGUUGAACCUAUAUAAACCCGGUAGUCCGACGAGAUCUCAAAAGACUCGAUUCAACCAACAUACAACCAAGAUCGUACAUGAUCAAGCAUCACCAUCACAGAUUACAACAUUCAUCACAGAACAUAGUUUUACAUCACAUCAGAGUUUAAAGUGGUUAUUACAAACCAUAGCAGUAGCGGAAACAAAGUAGUUUUGAAACAACAUCAACUCAGUUUAUAAUACAUGCCAGUUCCAUGGUCAAGUCCCAACAAAAGCACAACUGAAGAUAAAGGAGGUGAUCACGCCCAUGAUCUAUUCAUCAUCCGCAGCCGGGUGAAGACACUUAGCAUAGUAGCCGUGGUAAACGACAUCAUCUGCAACAGGGGUAAAUAAAACCCUGAGUACGAGAAUCUACUCAGCUAGACUUACCCGUCAUAAAUCAAAACAAAGUGACACCAAGGAGUAUGCAAGGCUGAUCUUUGUGGACUGGUUUGACUCGCCUUUUGCAUAAAAGCCUUUGUUGUAAGUAACUCAUUUAUCAUAUUUCAGCAGCAAGUUCAUUACUUAGCAACUAUCCACUAGAUUAGCACCUGUUCUAAGCAUACACUUGUGUAUUUAAGCAUUACAAUAAUAACCAUAUCCAGAUUUUCACAUAGCUAUCAUCAUUCUCAUCAUAACCAUUAAAUUUAUUUAGUGAAUUCUACGUUGCCGCUGCCCAAGUCAAGUUCUCACUAUCCGGGAGAGACGGCGAUUCGAAUCGAUUCCUAUCUAGCUGGAGGGUUAUUCCUAACACUCACCCAAGCAUACUUCAUGACGGUAGCUCGGAUCACCUUUAGCACAACUCCGGACCAAUUCGCGGGUCCGUCCAGCGCCUCACCCCCAGGGAUCGCCAAUCUGCCAGGGUCAGGACUCUAACCUGACACCUCGGUCUUACGCCAUUGACUCCCCGCACAUCCUUGCUACCAACCGGGGUGCGCACUCAUACAGAACGGGGUAUCCGGCCUGAGUUGCACUCGUAGGCUUCACGGUCGGAACGACUUAUCCGGCCAACUAAGUGAUAGGCAUGCGUUCAACAUGACACGGGGACGUACAGCGAUUCGGUCCUUAAACGACACAGACGGGGAUAGAUUCACACCCAAGACCUCCAUGCCUUGUUGCUGCACUAUCGUCAUCCCGCCCGGUCUCAAGUUCAUUUUUAGCACCUGGUUAUCUCCACGAUAGCAAAUAUAGCCAACCGUGAUGAUCAUCCACCUAACUCUCGCAGGUGACAGGAAAUCACCCGGCUUCUACCGAGCUAAGCAUGGCUAAGCAUUACUUCGAUCCUAGACCUACUUUGGUAAUGUUUAAGGUGGACAAGGUAGUCAUUAUGCAGCAAGGGUGUCAUAUCAACGCCUACCACUUAAUGCAACAAUAUAUAACCAUAGUCAUUUGACAGCUGAACUUGAUAAUAAAAUAGUAGGAGGCUUAUAAUGCUCCAGGGCUUGCCUUCGACGUAGGUAGAGGGACGAUGGUCGGGGCACUCCGGCAAGUCCUCCUCCUCCUCAGCUCCUUGAGGUAGCUCCCCUUGCUGUCCUUCCGGCUCCGGCAACUCGUACUCCAGCACCGUCACGCCCUUGGGUACACCUAGGUAUGCAUGACAAGGAGAUGAAUACAGACAAUGCACAUAUGAUGCAUGAUGUCAUGAUGGGGAGUAAAAAGGACAUAAACAAGGCAUAACAUGAGCAUAAACUUCUAAGAUUAAGUGAAUCAUGGAAUAACAAGUAAGUGCAUACUUCUUCUCUGGUAGAGAGACUGAAUAGACAAGUUAAACAAGUUCUAGCUACUCCUACUCAGCCACUGGUUUAGUAGACAAACCAACCAGUCACAAGUUUCAGCCCUAACUCAAGCAUCUAUUAAUCAAACUAAGCAAGUAAGUACUUUCUGGAAAGUUUAGCAAAUUGUCUACAAUUCACUUUUAGACAUCCCAGACUGAUUCCCUACUUAAAUAUGCUAAAACAUACAAAGUUGACUGGCUGUCCUGGAAAAUCCAGAGAGCAAGCACUUUGCAGCAGCUACUUGCAACAUGCAUAACUUUCAAACUACUCAACCAAAUGUCAUGAAAUUUGGACACGAAGUAGAUCAGUAAGUUAGCUACAAGUUUGUUGUAGACAAGUUUCCCAGAAAACAUUAUCUUCAAAUAGUUCUUAAUCAUUUGCUAUCAGCUGUACAGAAAUGCUCUAGGAAAGGCAAAAAUAGCAAAAAUAAUAUUUUGCACAUAUUGAGAAUGUAUCACAGGGAUAAACCAAUUGCACCAAUAGAUAGAACAUGACUAAGAAACACUAGAAAACAUCAUGGCAAGGUCUAAACUCAUUUCUAUCAUCACCUUUUCCAUUUAUUUAAUUAUUAAGGUGAUUUAAUGAACAUGCAUUCCAAGUGUUCCAAAAAUCCUAAGAAAAUUACAGCAAACCACUUAUGCUAACAUAAGAUCACUAUAAAAUUUUCACAACAUUUGCACAUACACAUUGUGAGGUAUAAAAAUAACAAGCUAGUAAAGGCAUGCAAGGCAUAAAUGUGAAACCCUAUCAAAAAGUGUCAAACAACAAAUUGCACAUUUUUCCUGGCUUUGUCUACUCAUAAGUACAACACUCAGCAAGUUUCAUCACAAAAGAAGUUAUAACUUAAUUAUUAAAAAUAUCACAAAAACUCCUAUUUAAGCAAGAAUUAUUUUUAACUUCUUAACCAGGCUUCCAAAAAUCAUGAAAACUUUAUCAGAGCCUAAUCAUAACAUAAGUAACAACACCCUAAAUUUGCAUGGCCAGCAGAUCACUAGAUUUCAAGAUAUAAUUACCUCCUACAAAUCUAAGAUUAAUUUAUAUCUAUUUAUUUCUGCAAAAACCUGACAUGUUUCAUAUUUUUAUUAAAAACUAGACUUAUGCUGAAACCUAGCAAAAUUGGAAUCACUUCAUUUGAAUCUCUAAAACUCCAGAUAUGGAUUUUACAAAAACAGCAUUGGCUCUGUAAACAGUGAACCAGAGGGGUGAGAGAGGAGAGGCUGACACUCGGGACCCGCGCGUCAGUGAGACAGUGACAGGGGAGGAGCUCGCCGCCGGCAAAGCUCAACGACGACGAGGUUUCCGCCGGAUCCAAGGGCACCUACGUGUUCCUCUCAUCAAGGCGACUCUGUUGAUCUACUUUACCCGCGCUCUACUGGACCCUAAGGUGCUCGCCGUCGUGAAUGGCGGAGCGACGGCGCUGCGCGGUGUUACGCCGGCGGAUCUAGGCAAUGGCGACGCAGUAGAGCUUGCGGACGAGCAAGAGUGGCUCAAGGCGAAGCUAUAGGAAGAAGAAUCACGGCCAGAGGUGAACCAGAGAGGUCUGGCCACGUUGCCGGUGAUCUCUGUGAACUCCGGCGAGGUGGAGCUCGCGGCGGAGUUGGCAAUGCGACCUCACCGGUGCUCGGCUAAGGGAAUGGAGUGGACGUCGAGGUAGAGGACGUCAAGGCGGAGCUCUGGGCGGGCUGGCUUGGCCGGAGACGCGGUGGAACGGCCGGAGAAGCUCGCCGAAGUGCGGCGGAGCUCACCGAGGCGACGGCGGAGCGAAAUGUGCAGCGCUGAGUGAGUGGAGAGCGCGUCUGAGGCGUCCACUCGGUGCGUGGCGACUUGGAGACGCCGUGGGAGCUGACAGGCGGGGUCGUCGACGGCGUACGGUCGACAGGUGGCUGGACACGCGGCGGCGGGCGGCUUCUGUCCAAACUGAAUCGGGCGAUUCAGUCGCCAUGGCCAAUGACUGAAUCCCGAAGUUCGUCGACGUUUUACUCUCAGCUCACUCGGUGGUUUUGGCUGGGAUUUGAUCCUCUGGACAGAGCUACAUGAGUUCUACAACUUUGAUUACAAGAUCAAAGCCUAACUCGGUCUAGAUUUCAAACUACAAAGCUCCAAACAACCCUACCUCGAAACUGCGUGACUCAACACUUAGCCAAAUUUGGCUAAGUGUGAAAUCAGCCCUGAUUUUUGGCUUGUGAACAAUUUUUGGAUGUGUUCUAAGCUUUUUCAUAAAAAGUAAUCAACAUAACUUUUGUAUCUUAUGAAAUUCUCUACAACUUUGCUUCAGGUGUCACAGACAUGCAAGAUCUCUAACAUUACUUUCAUAAAACAUCUUUGAUAGGAGGUUCAGGGGGUCAAAUAAGCCAUUCUAGGUUUAACCAUAACCUAGGGGCAUUUUUGGCCAAAACCUUCAACAUGAACUUUGCUCCAAAUGAUAUUCUAAACAUGAUUGAGGUAUUUUGGAAGACAAUGAACAAUUGUUUGCAUUGGCUACCCCUUAUAGUCACUCAAUUCAAGUCACACAAGCAAUUUAAUCAUGUAGUGCAUAUAGCAAAUGGCAUGUGAUCAUGGUAUGAUGCUCAUGAGUGAUCAUGAUGAUGCUUAUGUUGAUGAAAUGCUCAUGGUUAACAUGCAAGCUAACACUAGGAGUGUUACAGCCCUCCCCCCUUACAAAAAUCUCGUCCCGAGAUUUGAAAGACGUACCAUUUUUCAUAGAAUGAGGGAUAAGUUUCUUGUAAAUAGUCUUCCCUUUCCCAAGUGGCAUCUCUCUCAUUUUGACGGUUCCACAAAACUCUAAAAAGUUUGAUCACCCUCCCACGAGUAAUUCGUUCUUUGACAUCAAGAACUUGUACAUGCUUUUCUUCAUAGGAUAGGUCUGACUGUAACUUGAUAUCUCUUGUUUCAACUCUCUCUUCGGGCACACGAAGACACUUCUUGAGUUGAGACACGUGGAAUACAGGGAAAAUAGCUCUCAUUUCGGGAGGUAGUUGUACUUUGUAAGCUACCCUGCCGCUCUUCUCAAUGAUUCGGUAGGGACCCACAUACCUAGGGGCAAGCUUUCGUUUAACACCAAAGCGAUUUACUCCUUUCAUGGGCGAUACCUUUAGGCACACAAAGUCACCUACUUCGAACUCGAUUGGCUUUCUUCUUCGGUCAGCAUAGCUUUUCUGUCUAGCCUGGGCAGCUCUCAUGUGUUGCUGAAUAAUGAGAACUUGAUUUUCUGCUUCCUUGACAAAGUCAAUUCCGUAGUACCUCCUUUCACCAGGUUCGACCCAGUUUAGAGGAGUUCUACAUUUGCGGCCAUACAAAGCUUCGAAAGGAGCCAUUUGGAUACUCUCUUGAUAACUAUUGUUGUAUGAGAAUUCAGCUAAGGGUAACCAUUUCUCCCAUGCACCCUUGGAAGAUAUAACACAUGCCCUCAACAUAUCCUCUAAAUUUUGAUUCACACGCUCAGUUUGACCGGAGGUUUGGGGAUGAUAGGCUGAACUGCGAACCAACUUUGUACCAAGGAGUGAAUGCAGAUGCUCCCAAAAGCGAGCAGUGAACUGAGGACCUCUAUCAGAAAUAAUAGUGCGAGGCACUCCGUGCAAUUUAACUAUCUGAGAGAAGUAUAACUCAGCAUAGUCGGAUGGCCGGUAUGUAGAGUGUACAGGAAUAAAAUGAGCUGACUUGGUCAACGGUCAACAAUCACCCAUAUGGAAUUGUGUCCUUUUUGAGUAAGGGGAAGUCCAACAAUGAAAUCCAUGCUGAUUUCUUCCCACUUCCAACCUGGAAUCGACAAGGGUUGUAAUAAACCUGCAGGUUUAAGGUGAACUGCCUUUACCCUGCAGCAAGUAUCACACCUAGCAACAUAAGCUGCUAUCUCCUUCUUCAUUUUGGUCCACCAGAAACGAGGUCUCAAGUCUUGGUACAUUUUGCUACUCCCCGGAUGAAUGGACAAUUUGGAAGAAUGAGCUUCUUCUAGAAUUUUGUUGCGUAGGUCACGAUCUUUAGGUACAACUAGUCGAUUGUCAAACAACAGUUACACCUUUCUCAUCUACCCUGAAAUGCUUGGUGUCUUGCUCUUGCAUUUUUCUCUUGAUAUGAAAAAUACCAGGAUCAGAUUUUUGGAGCUCUAUGAUUUGACUUUCUAAUGAGCAACUGACGAUGAUGUUGUGCAGGACCACAGGAUGCAACAAAUUGAAGCCUUCCUCCAGGAGAGGUCUAACAUGUUGUUUCCGACUGAGAGCAUCAGCUACAACAUUGGCUUUGCAUGGAUGAUAGUGCACUUCUAAAUUGUAGUCUUUUAUCAAUUCCAGCCAUCUUCUUUGUCUCAUAUUCAGCUCGGGUUGUGUGAAGAUAUAUUUGAGGCUCUUAUGGUCAGUGUAAAUAUGACAAAGGUUACCCAACAGAUAGUGUCUCCAGAGUUUCAAUGCAUGUACAACUGCUGCUAACUCUAGAUCAUGAGUAGGGUAGUUGGCUUCAUGUUUCCUUAGUUGUCGAGAAGCAUAAGCAAUAACUCGGCCUUCUUGCAUAAGCACACAACCCAGGCCAGUGCGAGAUGCAUCACAAAAGACAUCAAAUAGCUUUUCAAUGUCAGGCUGUGCCAGAACAGGAGCGGUGGUCAGUAAAUGGCGUAAAGUGGUGAAAGCGACUUCACACUCCUCGGUCCACACAAACUUCACAUCUUUUUGAAGUAAUUUGUCAUAGGUUUAGCUAUCUUGGAAAAGUCUGGAAUGAAGCACCGAUAAUAACCAGCUAGACCGAGAAAACUCUGAACUUCGUGCACUGAAGUCGGGGCCUUCCAGUCUAGAACCUCCUGCACCUUUGACGGGUCAACAGAAAUACCCUCUUCGGGUAAAAUGUGGCCUAGGAAAGGCACUUUCUUCAGCCAAAACUCACACUUGCUAAACUUGGCACAAAGCUGAUGUUCUCGCAAUCUAGUGAGUACAAUCCGAAGGUGCUCCUCAUGUUCUUGUGCAUUUUCAGAGUAUACCAAUAUAUCAUCGAUGAACACCACCACAAACUUAUCCAGUUCGGGCAUGAACACCGAAUUCAUCAGGUACAUGAAAUGAGUAGGGGCAUUAGUCAGACCAAAGGACAUGACUAAAUACUCAUAUAACCCAUACCUGGUAGAGAAAGCCGUUUUAGGAAUGUCUUCAGGUCGGAUCUUGAUUUGAUGAUACCCAGAUCGCAGAUCAAUUUUGGAGAAUACUUUGGCCUUGGCUAAUUGAUCAAACAUGAUAUCAAUGCGAGGCAGUGGAUACUUGUUUUUGAUAGUCACGGCAUUCAACGGACGAUAGUCUACACACAUACGUAGAGACUUGUCCUUCUUCUUGACAAAGAGAGCCGGACAACCCCAUGGAGAAGAACUAGGUCGAAUAAGACCCUUCUCUAGGACCUCUUGCAAUUGCUUUUUCAACUCUGCCAAUUCAUUGGGUGGCAUUCGGUAUGGCCUUCUAGAGAUAGGUGCGGUACCCGGAAUUAGAUCAAUUUUAAACUCAAUGUCUCUGUCCGGCGGCAACCCGGGCAGGUCCUCUGGAAAAACAUCCGGAAACUCACACACUACUGGAAUUUCUGCUAUAGUGAGUGGUCGAAUAGCAUUGGCCGCGUGACGGAUGUCAUUGCUUCUAGGGAGUUGAACUAAGAAAGCUUCCUUACUAUCAGGCUCCCUCAACAUGAUGACCCUAGUUGAAGUGUCUAUUAACACUCCAUGAUCACUCAUCCAUUUCAUUCCUAGGAUAACAUCUAUUCCCAAGCCCGGUAAGAUCACAAGAUUUGCUGAAUAAUUACGCCCUUCUAUGGCAAUUUGUACAUCUCUCACUACUUGAUGUGUAGCAAUUUGAUUACCAGCAGCACUAAUGCAAAAUUUUCCACUAUCAAGGUCGAUUACAUGUUGCCCAUGCUUAGAUGCGAAUGCUUGACUCAUAAAUGAAUGUGAAGCUCUAGAAUCAAAUAAGACAACUGCAGGGUGUUGAUUUACAAGGAACAUAUCAGCCGUGACCACUUCACCUUCCGGAAUUUCUUCAAUGGUGGUAUAGUGCACUCGGCCCAUACGGUUAUUGCCUCCAGCCGCAGCAUUUCUCUUAGGAUAAGGGCAAUCUCUCGCCCAGUGACCAACUUGCUUGCAAUUGAAGCAGGGACGGUUAUCAGGAGGAGUCUUGGGACCUCCAUGACCUGUGGCACCUCUUGGGAGAGCAACUGUGAAGGACUUGCGAACUCCCGUCUUCACAUUUGACUUUUUCUACGGCGGCCUAUACCUUGUCACAGCAUUGGGUGGGCGAUAGGCCGGUUUGCUUGCCACUGGAGCCUUGGAUUGUGAAGCACCUGCCUCAUAGGCCCUCUUGCGAUUCUUGGACGCGACAUACACAGCAUUGGAGUUCUCUUGAGUCAACGCAUCACUCACAAACUCAUUAAAGGUGGUACUCUUGUUACCAACCAUGUUCUUGGACAACUUGGGUCCCAACCCUCUCUUGAAACUAGCGAGCUUCUUGACUUCGGUGUCAACCAUCUCAGGAGCAUAGCGAGACAAAUUAUUAAAAGCAUGAAGAUACUCAGUCAAGCUUUUAGUGCCUUACGUCAGGUUCAUGAACUCGGUGUGCUUGAUAGUCAUUAAGCCUUGGGGAAUGUAAGUAUUCCUGAAAGCAGUUGUGAACUGAUCCCAGGUUACAACAGCAUUGGCAGGCAAGCUGGUCCUGUAAUGACUCCACCAGACACCUGCUUUGCCCUCCAACUGGUGGGCUGCAUAUUCCGCCUUCAGCUCUUCGGUUAAUCUUAGCAAACGGAAUUUCUGUUCAAGGGUAUUGAGCCACUCAUCAGCUUCUAGAGGUUCAACAGCCUCCUUGAAAAGCGGUGGCUUGGUGUCCUGGAAAUCCUUGAAACUGCUGUACUGAUUUGCCUCUCCGCCUUGGCGGACAUGGCGACCACCCCGGUUCUGUUGCGCCAUAGUUUGCAUGGCCUCAUUGAGCAUACGCUGGCCCUCAACAAGAGCUGCUAAUAGCUCAGUAGGCGUAGGCGGGGGAGGAGGUGGUGGUGGCGGCACCUCGUUGUGAUCGGAGCGAGUAUUGCGAGCCAUCUGCACAAGGCAUACCAAGCGAUUGUUUCAGGCAACAGAUAUAAUUGUCACGAACUUCAAUUGCUGCCAUACGGAAUUUAAUGAAGUAAAUUCACACGAAUUAAGGCGCAAUAAUUCAUGUACAAUAAGAGGAUAUCUUCCAUGACACUUGGUUAAUCUCGCGAUCAAUCACAACCACAAUUUCUCACAGAUUAAAGACAUUUCAGAGAAUUAUUUAGGCUCAACAUAAACAUGGAGUAUCACACAUAAGUGCAUAGGGUUACAUAGAGUCAUUGCCACAACUUAAGUGUUUACAGGAGGGGCACCAUGGCCAAAUACAUAGAGUCUCAACUAAAAUUCAGAUUACAUGUCCAUUACAUAAAGAGAUGGAACUGAUACAUGAGCAUGGAAUUAUUGCUAGGCUACAUAUCUUCAUCAGAUUCUCCAUUAGAAAUGAUGCCAUCAUCCUGAUCUUCCUCACUAGGAGCUUCUUCAUGAUUAAAAGGGGCUGGUUGUGGAAUAGGAUUUAUGAUAUUAUUUAGGCGAUGGACAUCUAAUUGCAGCUCAGCAAUCCUAGUAAUCAGCUCUUCCUCCCUCAUUUCAGCAUGGAAUAAGGCUCUAACUCUAGCAGCUUCUCUAUUUUCAGCCAAGCGCAUGGCCUCAUCCCUCUCUUAGUCAUUUGCAUCAUACAGGCUUGUGCCUCAUUGCGCUCUCUAACUGCAUUCUCAACUUGGUUGCGGCGGGCUUGCAAAGCGGUGUGAUAGUUUUGGAUUUCAGCUUAUGCAUCCAUAAAAGCCUUGCGAUGCUUGCGCACUCGCUUGCGCAAUUUGCGCUGCCCAACUUGAGCUUGUUGAAGUGCUAGCAUGGCAUCUAUGUAGGUGUCCUGGCGCACGUAGUACAACUUAAGUACCGCUAGCAUGGCACUCAUUGUAACACCCCAGUGUUAUGGUUGCAUCAAACAUGUGCAUAGCAUGAGCAUCAUCAUUUAUUCAAAGCAUCCAUGAUCAUCAUCUAUCAUUGAGACAUGUCAUUCUUUGCAAAAAUGUGUUUUAAAUUGUUUAAAUAGGUUUCCUAUGCUUAUGUUUGAGUGAACAAUGCUUGUGUUUGUGCUUAAUGCCUUGGUAAAUAGCUUAUCUAUGCUUAACUUAACCUUGGGAACAAUGUUCAUGUUGAUCACUUCUCCAAAAUAAUCACUUAAGUCAUACUUAUGCAAAUAGGCCCUAGAAACCUCUUUUGCUUAGGCUUUUAAAAAGUGUUUCAUACAAUGUUUGCAUGUCAAAACUUCCUACAGCAAAGUUGUAGAAAAUUUUAUAAGGAACAAAAGUUGUUUUAUGGCCAUCUCAUGAAAAUGAUCACAAAUAGCUCAAAAGUGGCCCACAAGGCAGAUUUGGGGCUGUUUUCAACACUUAGAAAAUUUUCUAAGUCCUGGGUGCUUCGCAGUUUGCUCGAUCGAUUUUGGAAACUCUAUAUCUUUCAAUCCAAGCCGAUCUGGCCUUUGCUCUAGUUGACAAAGUUGUAGAUCUCGCCUAGUACUCCAAGUUUGUCAACUACGCCAUCUCCUAAUUCGCUCUGGUUUGGGAGAUAAUCACCGGUGAAGUCGCUCUGUCAGUCGGCCGAUGCGCUGCCUGAAUCGUUUUGGACCUCGCCGACGUGGCCGACCGGCGGCAGCACAACGGCGACAAUUGGCGCCCGUACGCCGUUCCUGGCCCCGCCUGUCAGCCCUCGUCGCGUGCAUGACCUCCACGGCGUCGCCCGCGCAGAGUGGACGCGUCCACUUCGCUCCUCCUCGCCUCCACUCGCCUGAACCUCGCCCGCAGCGAGCUCUCCGCCGCGAGCUCACUCCGGCGAGCUCGUGUGCGCUCCUCUCUGCGUCUCCAUCCACCAAACUCCGCCCAAAGCUCCGCCGUGAGCCGCUCUCCAAGCUCCACCCUCUAACUCGCCGAGAAACCCACCGGUGAGCCGACAUUUCUUUCUUCCCCCAAAUCGGUCCGCCGUGACCAUCUUCUCCGGCGAACUCAAUGCCGAGCGCUGUGAGGCUUCUCAUCGUCUUUGGUUAGGUCCUAGAGGUAGCUUAGGUCGUUAGCGAGCUUUUGCGCCACCUGGUGGACGCUCUACCGGGUUCUCCGUCGCCGGACACGGUGCGCAGCGCCGCCGUGCUUCCGCCGGAGUUGGGUGCUCUCGUGGCCAGCGCUUUCCACGGGGAUCCAGGCCAAGCCGCGUACCUAGGAAGCUUCGCCCUAGUCUGCUGGUGCUGUAGAAGGCCUUAGGUCACGCUCUACCGGCCUGAGGGCUCCGGCGUAACGCCGAGCACCUCCGCCGAGCCGCCAUUGCCGACGGUGAGCCCCUUCCGGUGGCUCCGCCGCGGCAAAAGUGGGGUCAAUCGAGUCGUUAGGGUUUGGGAAUCACGUUGAUGCCCUGGGUUUGGCCGGAGACCUCGCCGUCGCGGAGAAAUCGCCGGCGAAAGUCGCCUCGGCCGUGAGGAAGAAGAGCCUGACGGGUGGGACCCACUGUCAGCGACUCUCUCUUUCCCUCCUUUUCUUUUAUUCAAAAUCCUGAUUUUUGGCUUUCUUGCAAAAAUCAUAUCUCCUGUUUCUGAGAUCCAAAAAUUGUGAAACAAAUUUUGUGUUGUUUCUUGAGAUGGCUAGUAUUUAAUAAAAAUAUAAAAUGAAUCAUGUUUUCUGAUAAAUUAUUUAUUAAGGAUUUAAUCUUUUUAUUUAUGGAUAAAUGCAUAUCUCUGGUUUUACUGAUUAGUUUGCUCUGAAAAUUUUAUGGUGGUCUUUGCAUGGCAUUAGAGUGCUCUGAUACUUAUUUCAUGAUUUUUGGAGCACUGCAGUUGUGAUAUGUAAUUUGUGUUUGAAAUAUGGCUUGUUUCUUUAAUUAAACCACAUAAAAUAAUUGGUGCUUAUGCUGGUGCUCUAUUUUGGUGGUAAACUUGUUUAUGGUAUUCCUAAGAUAUAAAUAAUCUGAAAUCUGUUGUUUGACACUAUAUAAGUCAUGUCUAUGAAUUUAUGAAAUAAAUGCCUUGAUACAUGUUAAAUGCAUAUCUUUAAUUUGGCAUGUGCAUUGGUCCUGAAAUUUUUAUGGUGGUAAUCUGAUGUUAUACUUGUGCCUCUGUAAUUUUUGUAGAUUUUUCUGAGCACUUUAACUAAUAUCUUGUAAAUAUGCCUUAUCUAAAAUUAAUUAAUAAAUGCCUUGUUAAGUAAUUGUUUUGGGGUUUUCAACUGAUGAUCUGGUGACCUUGUAUUAUGUUUGUGCUCAUGAGUCAUAUGGUUGGCAUAGUUUGUGUUUUGAUCAUGUCAUUAAAUAAUUAACUAUAGGGUUAAAUGCUGUUCUGGACAGCAAGUGAGUAAUUUAACUUUGCUUAAUGAUAACUUGACUUUCUGUGAAACUUGUAUAAAACAAAGUUGUUCUAAACUUGUUGAACUAACUGUGGUUUAAAUUUGAGGUCAUUUGGCCAAGUAGUUUAAAAGUUAUAGCUGUUCCAAGUUGGGUUCCAGAAAUAGGGGUUCUCUGUUUUUCUGGGACAGAACCUGGAACUUUGUUAAAAUGACUAGUUUAAUAUUUGAAUCUUGCUGUCAUGUUUAAAGAUGAGUUGUAGAUAAUUUCCUAAGCUUUCCAGAAUGUCCUUACUCAUGUUUGUUGGACCUGUCUAUCUAUACUUAUGAUUUAUUUACUGAGCAUACUUGUUUUGUGUCGUUUGCUGCUUUUGUGCCAUGAUAGGUUUUGGGUUUUGUUAACUUGUUUAUUCAUGUGAGUUAGUAUAACUCUUGCUCCGUAAAUGAGUGUCCAGUGAGUUGCUUGUGUUAUUAAGCAUUCAUCUGUAGCAUGUGCACCUUCUCAUUCAUCGAGCAUGCAAUAGGUGCACCGGACGUGGCAGUUUCCUUCGAGCUCCAAGCGAACCCCGAAGGCCAGGAAGGCAGCCAGGAGGUGGAGGUCCAGCAAGUCGGACUCGAGGAGCCCGAAGAAGAAGUUGAGUGCCCGAAUCACGAGCCGGCAUCGUUCGUGAAAGGCAAGCCCCGGAGCAUUCUAAGCCUCCUCUAUUUUUGAAAGUUUACUUAAUACGUUAUAUCUAUUGAUGCAUUACGUAUAGGAGUUGUGAUGAAACUAUUGCUGCAUUCUACUCUAUCCUUGUCCAGAUAACUCACCCUCCCUGGUUGUAGAGUUAGGUUCGAGUAGCAGCUUAGUUAUGCUUUAAUCGGUAGAAGUCGGGUGAUAUCCUGUCAUCCGCGCGAUAUAGGGUUGUGUCGGGUCACGAUGGUCUAUAUGUGCUAUCGUGGAUGGAACCUGGUUAAAUUGACUUAAGCCGGGCGGAGUUUUGCAAGUGUGUAGUAACUCCGUCUGUGGCAGCUAAGGACCGAUCGUUGUACGUCCUCUUGUCAUGUUGAACGCAUGCCUGACACUUAGUUGGCCGGAUAACUCGUUCCGACCGCGAAGCCGAGUAGUAUGGCUCAGGCCGGAAGACCGGCAAGUAUAAAGUGCGCACUACCGGAGGAAGUGCGGUGUGCGGGGGACCAUUGGCGUAAGUCCAAAGGCAGGUGAGUUAAAAUUCCUGACCUCCCUGGCAGAGUGGUAGCCCUGGGAGUGCGGCGCUGAUCGGAGCCGCGAUUCCUGAGUUGUACCAAAGGUGACCCGUUGGCUCUCUGGCAGGGGAUGCCUGGGUGAGUGCUAGGAAUAAUCCUCUAGCUGGAUAGGAAUUCGAUUCGAAUCGCCGUCUCUCCCGGUUAGUGAGAACUUGACAGAGCAGCGGCAAACGUAGCAUUCAUUAAUGAACUUGGUUCAUGAUAAUGAUGAUAGCGAGAAAAGCAUAUGAUGAAUUUGGUAUGGUUAUUAUUGUUUGUAAUAAUCAAAUGAUGUGUUGUAGUACAGGUGCUAAUCUAGUGGUAGGCUGAUGAUAAAUAAAUUUGAUGCUCUUAAAAUGAUUUAGUUAUAAGUUAAGCUUUUGGCAAAAGGUGAGUCAACCAGCUCCACUUAAAAUUCAGCCUUGCAUGAUCCUUGGUGUCUUUUCUGUUUUCCUAGACGGGUAAGUCUAGCUGAGUACAUCCUCGUACUCAGGGUUUAUUCCCACCUGUUGCAGAUGAUAUCUUCUAUGACGGUUUCUGCAAGACCUGUCUCCAUCCCGCUGGGGAUGAGGACUAACCGUUGGGCACGGUUCUCUACUCUUCUCGUCUAUGAUGCUUUUGGAAGGAUGACCUAGACUCUGGCAGUAACAAACUUGCGAACUGAACUUUGAACAAGUGUGUGUAAUUAUUUUGCUUCCGCUACUUCGAACAAGUGUUGUAAUAACUUAAUACUCCGAUGUGGUGCCGCUUCGACGGCAAUGAAUGACCAUGUAACAUUCGUUGUGUUUAUGUUGAACUAUUACGAUCUUGGUUUGUUGCGAGUUGGUUUGAAGUCCUUCGUGAUUUCGAUUGACUACCGGGAUUAUAUGGGCUCAAGUUUAGAAACUUGAUUGUUUGACGAUCGUUUCUGCACUUGAACUCUUAUAAUUUGGUCGGUUCCGUGACACUCAUGGCAGGGCUAGAGCUAUAUCCUAGCAAGGUUUCUCUCAUCUCUAAAGACUCAUCCCCAACCUGGGACACAAAUGUGUCAGUCACACUCACUCUGGGAACGGAUCCCGCUGGGCCAUUCACUAGCUCAUCACCAUGCUCUUGGCAAAUCUCUAGCAAAACCUCCAGGGCUGCUACUUGGGCACCCUCCCAAGGAGUUUGGCCAUCACAGUCAACUAACCAACCUAGCCACUGUGGGUUAUUUGGACAAGGGGGAACUGUAAUUUGGACAUCUACCCAAGGUAAGGCCCCUGCAUGCUCAGCCUCGGUCCAAAUGUACUUAGGUGGUUCCUCAUAUCCAACUGAACUUAGCACCCUCCACAACAAAGUAGGAGUGCCAAACAUGUCCAGGAAAGUCUCACUCGCGUGCGGGACUGCCAUCUGUAGAAAGACCACAUUUGAGUAAGGGAGAUUAAUUACAAGGAGAGAUAAAGAAUCAUAUUUUCAGAAUUUAAUACCCAAGUAUUGCAUAAAGAAUGUAUGAAGGAUUCAUGCUGCAUGCACGUUCCAUACGUCCUUCCCAUUCCUAGAAGAAAGUUCUAACGGUAUAGUCGGUGGCAUACAUACGUGCACUCUUUAUACGCAUCUACACGAUCUAAACGUUUCGUUGUUAGUGUACCUGCAGAAGAUUUCAUUUCAGCCCAACCCCACAAUAGUAUAUGUGCAGGAAUGUAAAUCCAAUCACCAACAAUCAAGCUAGGUACUCCGAUAUAUAUUCCCGAACAUAUAUCGCAGCACACUACCCAAUUGGGAUACAUCCACAUAUACAUCAACUAUGUAUACAUGGCUGCACCUACUACCCACAAUUAAGUACCUUCAUAUAUACAUGUGUGAAACAUGUAAAUAUUCUAGUAACCACAGCUAACACUCCCCUAGACCGACGGUUGGACGGUCAUGCUCUCACAGCUCACACUUACCGUAGCGUAGAGGCAUAUAGAUCCAUACAUUACCACUCAAGCAAGUGGCAUCCAUACAAUUUCACGUCGUAUGGACGACGAAAGAAAACAAACAAUGCUUACCAUGGCGUAGAGGUAUGUGACCCAUUCAUUACCACUUAAGUAAGCUGUAUCCAUAUAAUUGCAUGCCAUAUGGACGACGAAAGGAAAAACCCCCAUGUUAGUAAUAAUAAGCCACCUAGAAGUCCUUAUAUGGGCAUAAAGGGCAUGACCACUGGCAUGGUAUAAGUUAUCAAAACCCUUUUUAAAACCACCCUAUAUAUAGCCUAAUUUGCCAAAUUAGUUUGAGAAAACCAAAUUCAUUUGUUUUCAAAUACAUCUAUGAUGGUUAUAUGCUUAAUCUUGCUCUGAUGCCAGCUGUAACAGAACCGUCCAAUUUAUAAGAAUUCAAGUGAAUUAGCGACCACGGAGGCAGUCAAGCCAAUGGACUUGAACCCAUAUAAACCCGGUAGUCCGACGAGAUCUCAAAAGACCUCGAUUCAACCAACAUACAACCAAGAUCGUACAUGAUCAAGCAUCACCAUCACAGAUUACAACAUUCAUCACAGAACAUAGUUUUACAUCACAUCAGAGUUUAAAGUGGUUAUUACAAACCAUAGCAGUAGCGGAAACAAAGUAGUUUUGAAACAACAUCAACUCAGUUUAUAAUACAUGUCAGUUCCAUGGUCAAGUCCCAACAAAAGCACAACUGAAGAUAAAGGAGGUGAUCACGCCCAUGAUCUAUUCAUCAUCCGCAGCCGGGUGAUGACACUUAGCACAGUAGCCGUGGUAAACGACAUCAUCUGCAAUAGGGGUAAAUAAAACCCUGAGUACGAGAAUGUACUCAGCUAGACUUACCCGUCAUAAAUCAAAACAAAGUGACACCAAGGAGUAUGCAAGGCUGAUCUUUAUGGACUGGUUUGACUCGCCUUUUGCAUAAAAGCCUUUGUUGUAAGUAACUCAUUUAUCAUAUUUCAGCAGCAAGUUCAUUACUUAGCAACUAUCCACUAGAUUAGCACCUGUUCUAAGCAUACACUUGUGUGUUUAAGCAUUACAAUAAUAACCAUAUCCAGAUUUCCACAUAGCUAUCAUCAUUCUCAUCAUAACCAUUAAAUUUAUUUAGUGAAUUCUACGUUGCCGCUGCCCAAGUCAAGUUCUCACUAUCCGGGAGAGACGGCGAUUCGAAUCGAUUCCUAUCCAGCUGGAGGGUUAUUCCUAACACUCACCCAAGCAUACUUCAUGACGGCAGCUCGGAUCACCUUUAGCACAACUCCGGACCAAUUCGCGGGUCCGUCCAGCGCCGCACCCCCAGGGACCGCCAAUCUGCCAGGGUCAGGACUCUAACCUGACACCUCGGUCUUACGCCAUUGACUCCCCGCACAUCCUUGCUACCAACCGGGGUGCGCACUCAUACAGAACGGGUUAUCCGGCCUAAGUUGCACUCGUAGGCUUCGCGGUCGGAAUGACUUAUCCGGCCAACUGAGUGAUAGGCAUGCGUUCAACAUGACACGGGGACGUACAGCGAUUCGGUCCUUAAACGACACAGACGGGGAUAGAUUCACACCCAAGACCUCCAUGCCUUGUUGCUGCACUAUCGUCAUCCCGCCCGGUCUCAAGUUCAUUUUUAGCACCUGGUUAUCUCCACGAUAGCAAAUAUAGCCAACCGUGAUGAUCAUCCACCUAACUCUCGCAGGUGACAGGAAAUCACCCGGCUUCUACCGAGCUAAGCAUGGCUAAGCAUUACUUCGAUCCUGGACCUACUUUGGUAAUGUUUAAGGUGGACAAGGUAGUCAUUAUGCAGCAAGGGUGUCAUAUCAAUGCCUACCACUUAAUGCAACAAUAUAUAACAAUAGUUAUUUGACAGCUGAACUUGAUAAUAAAAUAGUAGGAGGCUUAUAAUGCUCCGGGGCUUGCCUUCGACGUAGGUAGAGGGACGAUGGUCGGGGCACUCCGGCAAGUCCUCCUCCUCCUCAGCUCCUUGAGGUAGCUCCCCUUGCUGUCCUUCCGGCUCCGGCAACUCGUACUCCAGCACCGUCAAGCCCUUGGGUACACCUAGGUAUGCAUGACAAGGAGAUGAAUACAGAGAAUGCACAUAUGAUGCAUGAUGUCAUGAUGGGAUGUAAAAAGGACAUAAACAAGGCAUAACAUGAGCAUAAACUUCUAAGAUUAAGUGAAUCAUGGAAUAACAAGUAAGUGCAUACUUCUUCUCUGGUAGAGAGACUGAAUAGACAAGUUAAACAAGUUCUAGCUACUCCUACUCAGCCACUGGUUUAGUAGACAAACCAACCAGUCACAAGUUUCAGCCCUAACUCAAGCAUUCGUUAAUCAAACUAAGCAAGUAAGUACUUUCUAGAAAUUUUAGCAAAUUGUCUAAAAUUCACUUUUAGACAUCCCAGACUGAUUCCCUACUUAAAUAUGCUAAAACAUACAAAGUUGACUGGCUGUCCUGGAAAAUCCAGAGAGCAAGCACUUUGCAGCAGCUACUUGCAACAUGCAUAACUUUCAAACUACUCAACCAAAUGUCAUGAAAUUUGGACACGAAGUAGAUCAGUAAGUUAGCAACAAGUUUGUUGUAGACAAGUUUCCCAGAAAACCACUUAUGCUAACAUAAGAUCACUGUAAAAUUUUCAGAACAUUUGCACAUACACAUUCUGAGGUAUAAAAAUAACAAGCUAGUAAAGGCAUGCAAGGCAUAAAUGUGAAACCCUAUCAAAAAGUGUCAAACAACAGAUUUCAGAUUUUUCCUGGCUUUGUCUACUCAUAAGUACAACACUCAGCAAGUUUCAUCACAAAAGGAGUUAUAACUUAAUUAUUAAAAAUAUCACAAGAAACUCCUAUUUAAGCAAGAAUUAUUUUUAACUUCUUAACCAGGCUUCCAAAAAUCAUGAAAAAUUUAUCAGAGCCUAAUCAUAACAUAAGUAACAACACCCUAAAUUUGCAUGGCCAGCAGAUCAUAGAUUUCAAGAUAUAAUUACCUCCUACAAAUCCAAGAUUAAUUUAUAUCUAUUUAUUUCUGCAAAAACCUUGCAUGUUUCAUAUUUUUAUUAAAAACUAGACUUAUGCUGAAACCUAGCAAAAUUGGAAUCACUUCAUUUGGAUCUCUAAAACUCCAGAUAUGGAUUUUACAAAAACAGCAUUGGCUCUGUAAACAGUGAACUAGAGGGGUGAGAGAGGAGAGGCUGACCCCCGGGACCCGCGCGUCAGUGAGACAGUGACAGGGGAGGAGCUCGCCGCCGGCAAAGCUCAACGACGACGAGGUUUCCGCCGGAUCCAAGGGCACCUACGUGUUCCUCUCAUCAAGGCGACUCUGUUGACCUACUUUAUCCGCGCUCUACUGGACCCUAAGGUGCUCGCCGUCGGGAAUGGCGGAGCGACGGCGCUGCGCGGCGUUACGCCGGCAGAUCUAGGCAAUGGCGACGCAGUAGAGCUUGCGGACGAGCAAGAGUGGCUCAAGGCGAAGCUAUAGGAAGAAGAAUCACGGCCAGAGGUGAACCAGAGAGGUCUGGCCACGUUGCCGGUGAUCUCUGUGAACUCCGGCGAGGUGGAGCUCGCUACGGAGUUGGCAAUGCGACCUCACCGGUGCUCGGCUAAGGGAAUGGAGUGGACGUCGAGGUAGAGGACGUCAAGGCGGAGCUCUGGGCGGGCUGGCUUGGCCGGAGACGUGGUGGAACGGCCGGAGAAGCUCGGCGAAGCGCGGCGGAGCUCACCGAGGCGACGGCGGAGCGAAAUGUGCAGCGCUGAGUGAGUGGAGAGCGCGUCUGAGGCGUCCACUCGGUGCGUGGCAACUUGGAGACGCCGUGGGAGCUGACAGGCGGGGUCGUCGACGGCGUACGGUCGACAGGUGGCCGGACACGCGGCGGCGGGCGGCUUCUGUCCAAACUGAAUCGGGCGAUUCAGUCGCCAUGGCCAGUGACAGAAUCCCGAAGUUCGUCGACGUUUUAGUCCCAGCUCACUUGGUGGUUUAGGCUGGGAUUUGAUCCUCUGGACAGAGCUAUAUGAGUUCUACAACUUUGAUUACAAGAUCAAAGCCUAACUCGGUCUGGAUUUCAAACUACAAAGCUCCAAACAACCCUACCUCGAAACUGCGUGACUCAACACUUAGCCAAAUUUGGCUAAGUGUGAAAUCAGCCUUGAUUUUUGGCUUGUGAGCAAAUUUUGGAUGUGUUCUAGUCCUUUUCAUAAAAAGUCAUCAACAUAACUUUUGUAGCUUAUGAAAUUCUCUACAACUUUGCUUCAGGUGUCAUAGACAUGCAAGAUAUCUAACAUUACUUUCAUAAAACAUCUUUGAUAGGAGGUUUAGGGGGUCAAAUAAGCCAUUCUAGGUUUAACCAUAACCUAGGGGCAUUUUUGGCCAAAACCUUCAACAUGAACUUUGCUCCAAAUGAUAUUCUAAACAUGAUUGAGGUAUUUUGGAAGACAAUGAACAAUUGUUUGCAUUGGCUACCCCUUAUAGUCACUCAAUUCAAGUCACACAAGCAAUUUAAUCAUGUAGUGCAUAUAGCAAAUGGCAUGUGAUCAUGGUAUGACGCUCAUGAGUGAUCAUGAUGAUGCUUAUGUUGAUGAAAUGCUCAUGGUUAACAUGCAAGCUAACACUAGGAGUGUUACAAUAUAGUCCCCCUCUCGUGUAUUGGGCUGGCAGAGCAACAUUAUUACAGGGGAGUGAUUGCUAUGUUUCUCAUAUUCCUUGCUAAUAUCACUAUGCAUGGGUGUAGUCUUGUCUCGCAAUGAUUGCUAAGUAUGCUUGCACUAACUAUGAUAAUGCUAGACUAUAUAGUUGAGAAUAACUUAGGAAAUAUUCUUGUAGUUCAUUCUAAUACCAUGCUAAUGACUUUCUAGAAUAUCUAAUUGAGGUGCUUAUCAUAAUUAUAUGUGGCUAAGUUAUGCUGAUCAGAUUAAUUAUCUUGUCACUGUUCGUUACUUUAUAUAUC
rnacentral:lncRNA from 1 species